rnacentral:rRNA from 1 species
GACGAACGCUGGCGGCGUGCCUAAUACAUGCAAGUAGAACGCACAGUUUAUACCGUAGCUUGCUACACCAUAGACUGUGAGUUGCGAACGGGUGAGUAACGCGUAGGUAACCUGCCUGGCAGCGGGGGAUAACUAUUGGAAACGAUAGCUAAUACCGCAUAAUAUUAAUUAUUGCAUGAUAAUUAAUUGAAAGGUGCAAUUGCACCACUACCAGAUGGACCUGCGUUGUAUUAGCUAGUAGGUGAGGUAACGGCUCACCUAGGCGACGAUACAUAGCCGACCUGAGAGGGUGAUCGGCCACACUGGGACUGAGACACGGCCCAGACUCCUACGGGAGGCAGCAGUAGGGAAUCUUCGGCAAUGGACGAAAGUCUGACCGAGCAACGCCGCGUGAGUGAAGAAGGUUUUCGGAUCGUAAAGCUCUGUUGUAAGAGAAGAACGGGUGUGAGAGUGGAAAGUUCACACUGUGACGGUAUCUUACCAGAAAGGGACGGCUAACUACGUG